AGUGAACGCUGGCGGUAGGCCUAACACAUGCAAGUCGAACGGCAGCACAGUAAGAGCUUGCUCUUACGGGUGGCGAGUGGCGGAUGGGUGAGGAGUACAUCGGAAUCUACUUUUUCGUGGGGGAUAACGUAGGGAAACUUACGCUAAUACAGCAUACGAUCUACGGGUGAAAGCAGGGGAUCUUCGGACCUUGCGCGAUUGAAUGAGCCGAUGUCGGAUUAGCUAGUUGGCGGGGUAAAGGCCCAGCAAGGCGACGAUCCGUAGCCGGUGUGAGAGGGUGAUCGGCGACACUGGGAGUGAGACACGGUCCAGACUCCUACGGGAGGCAGCAGUUGGGAAUGUUGGACAAUGGGCGCAAGCCUGAUCCAGCCAUGCUGCGUGGGUGAAGAAGGCCUUCGGGUUGUAUAACCCUUUUGUUGGGGAAGAACAGCAGCGGGUUAAACCACGCCUGUUCUGACGGUACCCAAAGAAUAAGCACCGGCUAACUACGUG
rnacentral:rRNA from 1 species